rnacentral:pre_miRNA from 1 species
AGUGGAAUUGCUGGGUCAUAUGGCAGCUCUACUUCUAGUUUUUUGAGGAGCCACCAGACUAUUUCCCACAAUGGCUGUACCAUUUUGCAUUCCCACCAGCAAU